UACGAGUGCCUCAAGCGUUAUCCGGAAUUAUUGGGCGUAAAGGGUGUGUAGGUGGUUGUGUUAGUCUUCUGUAAAAUCGCUCGGCUUAACCGGGCAUCUGCAGAGGAAACGGCACAGCUUGAGGAUGCGAGGGGUGAAUGGAACUCAUAGUGUAGGGGUGAAAUCCGUUGAUAUUAUGGGGAACACCAAAAGCGAAGGCAAUUCACUGGCUCAUUCCUGACAUUGAAACACGAAA
rnacentral:rRNA from 1 species